rnacentral:rRNA from 1 species
UAAAUUGACGGUACCUGAUGAAUAAGCUCCGGCUAACUACGUGCCAGCAGCCGCGGUAAUACGUAGGGAGCGAGCGUUAUCCGGAAUUAUUGGGCGUAAAGGGUGCGUAGAUGGCAUAUAAAGUCUAUUGUAAAAGUGCUAGGCUCAACCUAGUGAGGCAAUAGAAACUAAUAAGCUAGAGUACAGAAGAGGCAAGUGGAAUUCCAUGUGUAGCGGUAAAAUGCGUAAAUAUAUGGAGGAACACCAGUGGCGAAGGCGGCUUGCUGGUCUGAUACUGACAUUGAGGCACGAAAGCGUGGGGAGCAAACAGGAUUAGAUACCCUGGUAGUCCACGCCCUAAACGAUGAGUACUAAGUGUAGCCGUAAGGCUGUGCUGAAGUUAACGCAUUAAGUACUCCGCCUGAGUAGUACGUACGCAAGUAUGAAACUUAAAGGAAUUGACGGGAGCCCGCACAAGCGGUGGAGCAUGUUGUUUAAUUCGACGAUACGCGAAGAACCUUACCAGGUCUUGACAUCUGAUGCAAAGUUAUAGAGAUAUAAUGGAGGUUAGCAUCAAGACAGGUGGUGCAUGGUUGUCGUCAGCUCGUGUCGUGAGAUGUUGGGUUAAGUCCCGCAACGAGCGCAACCCUUAUUUCUAGUUACCAUCAUUAAGUUGGGGACUCUAGAGAGACUGCCAUUGAUAAAAUGGAGGAAGGUGGGGAUGACGUCAAAUCAUCAUGCCCUAUAUGACCUGGGCUACAAACGUGCUACAAUGGCUGGAACAAAGAGAAGCAAAACCGCGAGGUAGAGCGAACCUCAAAAAACAGUCUCAGUUCGGAUUGAAGUCUGCAACUCGACUUCAUGAAGUUGGAAUCGCUAGUAAUCGCGAAUCAGAAUGUCGCGGUGAAUACGUUCCCGGGCUUUGCACACACCGCCCGUCAA